UAAGGAAUAUUGGUCAAUGGACGCAAGUCUGAACCAGCCAUGCCGCGUGAAGGAUGAAGGUCCUCUGGAUUGUAAACUUCUUUUAUCUGGGACGAAAACGGGAUUUUUAUCUCAAUUGACGGUACCAGAGGAAUAAGCAUCGGCUAACUCCGUGCCAGCAGCCGCGGUAAUACGGAGGGUGCGAGCGUUAUCCGGAUUCACUGGGUUUAAAGGGUGCGUAGGUGGGCUUAUAAGUCAGUGGUGAAAUCUCCGAGCUUAACUUGGAAACUGCCGUUGAUACUAUAGGUCUUGAAUUAUCUGGAGGUAAGCGGAAUAUGUCAUGUAGCGGUGAAAUGCUUAGGUAUGACAUAGAACACCAAUUGCGAAGGCAGCUUACUACGUAUAAAUUGACGCUGAGGCACGAAAGCGUGGGGAUCAAACA
rnacentral:rRNA from 1 species